rnacentral:rRNA from 1 species
GACGAACGCUGGCGGCGUGCUUAACACAUGCAAGUCGAACGAACAGGCCCUGCUUUUGUGGGGUGCUCGUGUGGCGCACGGGUGAGUAACACGUGAGUAACCUGCCCUUGACUUUGGGAUAACUUCUGGGAACUGGGGCUAAUACCGGAUAGGAGCUCCUGCUGCAUGGUGGGGGUUGGAAAAUUUCGGCGGUAGGGGAUGGACUCGCGGCUUAUCCGCUUGUUGGUGGGGUAGUGGCUUACCAAGGCUUUGACGGGUAGCCGGCCUGAGAGGGUGACCGGCCACAAUGGGACUGAGAUACGGCCCAGACGCGUACGGGAGGCAGCAGUGGGGAAUAUGGCACAAUGGGCGGAAGCCUGAUGCAACAACGCCGCGUGCGGGAUGACGGCCUUCGGGUUGUAAACCGCUUUCGCCUGUGACGAAGCGUGAGUGACGGUAAUGGGUAAAGAAGCACCGGCUAACUACGUG